rnacentral:ncRNA from 1 species
GAACGCCGUAUGCGAUUAAAGUCGCACGUACGGUGUGGAGCAGGGGGUGCGACAAGAAGCAACUUCUUUCAUAACAGUCAGUACAGGAAACUGUUGCCCUAGUUGCAA